AAGUAAACGAACACGAAAUUCAAAGGGAAACAGGAGCAAUCAUCAUUACCAGCUGCCGUGUUAAGCAUUGCGAAAACGCUCACGAUUCACAGAAAAAUCCAUGCUGUUCUUUGAAGGCAUUCAAGCCUUAAUAGCUAGCUGGAUGAAUGUUUAACUUCUAGGCCAGGCACUACUCUGUCCCAACAAUAAGCCCUGUACAUUGGGAAAGGUGCCGAGACAUGAACUUUGGUCUUCUCUGCAAUCCAUCUGGAGCAUUCACUGACAACAUCGACUUUGAAGUUGCACUGACCUGGCCAGCCCUGCCACUUACCAGGUUGGGCUGUGGCUUGCCUUUUCACUUCUUGUGUCCUGUUUAAGAAAUAUCUGCUAUCCCAAGCAUCUGGCAUCUUUCUUGACAUAUGUAGCAGUUGCUUUUUGACAGCUUGCUUCUUCAGUGAAUGAAUAAAUUAAUAAAGAGAAAUGUGAUGUUCAGUGAUCCAUUUUGCAGAUAACACUAACAAAGUUGACCUUAGAAUUGGAGUGCCUGGGUUAGAACCCUGCUGGUACCACCUGCUUACUGCAUGCUUCUGAUGUGAGUUCAGGAGAAGACACUGGCAAGGACAGCAAAGAACAGGAGAACACUCUAGCUUCCCUGAUAGCAUUCAAGGUGCUGUCCAAACUGACUGUGAUGGCACCCUCCAGACAGACAGCGAUGCCACAUGUUCAAGAUGGCAGAAUCACUAUCAGCUUCAAUUCCUGAAUGACUGCAGAGCAAAAUUUCUUACCUGCAACAUACACUCUAUUUUCAGCCUCCCUGGACUGUUACAUAAUGAUACAUAAAAAUAUUUCUUGUGUUGAGGCAUCCCAAAUUUGAUUUAUUUGUCAUCACAGUCUAUCCUAUGAAUAUAUUUCUGAUCCAAAUAAUGCUAGAUUCAUGAGAGUUUAUAGUCCAGAGAUUUUUUUUUUUUUUUUGAGACAGAAUCUGUCUCCCAGGCUGGGGUGCAGUGGCAUAAUCUUAGCUCACUGCAACCUCUGCCUCCCGGGCUCAAGUGAUCCUCCCUCCUUAGCCUCCAUGAGUAGCUGGGACCACAGGUGUGCACCACCACACCCCGCUAAUUAUUUUGUAUUUUUUGCAGAGGGGGGUUUCACCACAUUGCCCAAGCUGGUCUCAAACUCCUAGACUUAAGGGAUCUGCCUGCCUUGGCCUCCCAAAAUGCUGAAAUUACACUUGUUAGCCAUAGUAAUAGUUCCUAGCCAUAGUCCGGAGAUAUUUUAAAAACUUUAGUGUGAGUUAUUUCUCUUUGCUAUAAUUCUCUCAUGCAUUUUGAAAACCUUUUCUGCCAUACAGUGGUUUUUGGGAAGUCCUUUUGGACAGACAUAUCACAGGAUGGAGAAACUAAAAA
rnacentral:lncRNA from 1 species